rnacentral:rRNA from 1 species
UACAGAGGGUGCGAGCGUUAAUCGGAAUUACUGGGCGUAAAGCGUGCGUAGACGGCUAUCUAAGUCGGGUGUGAAAGCCCCGGGCUCAACCUGGGAAUUGCAUUCGAGACUGAAUAGCUAGGGUGCGGUAGAGGGAAGCGGAAUUUCCGGUGUAGCGGUGAAAUGCGUAGAUAAUCGGAAGGAACAUCAGUGGCGAAAGCGGCUUCCUGGACCAGCACCGACGUCAGGCACGAAGCGUGGGGAGCAAACAGGA